AACGAACGCUGGCGGCAGGCUUAACACAUGCAAGUCGAGCGCCCCGCAAGGGGAGCGGCAGACGGGUGAGUAACGCGUGGGAAUCUACCCAUCUCUACGGAAUAACGCAUGGAAACGUGUGCUAAUACCGUAUACGUCCUUCGGGAGAAAGAUUUAUCGGAGAUGGAUGAGCCCGCGUUGGAUUAGCUUGUUGGUGGGGUACAGGCCUACCAAGGCGACGAUCCAUAGCUGGUCUCAGAGGAUGAUCAGCCACACUGGGACUGAGGCACGGCCCAGACUCCGACCGGGGGAAGCGGCGGGGAAUAUGGGACGAUGGGCGCGGGCCUUAUCCAGCCAGGCCGCGUGACUGAUGAAGGCCCUUUGGUUUUAAGGCACUUUCACCGGCGAAGAUAAUGACGGUAACCGGGGAAGAAGCCCCGGCUAACUUCGUGCCAGCAGCCGCCGCCGUAA
rnacentral:rRNA from 1 species